AUAUUAAGCAUUUGGGGAAGAUAUCAGCAGAUGCUUUAUCUGUAGUGAAAGCAGAAAUCAAAAUCAGAAUGGAUAAGUUUGGAGGAUUCUCAGAAGAAAAACCUGCAACGGAUGAAAUCCAGGGGAUGUGUUCCAUGCUGAAGAGUGAAAUUGAGUAUGCUACUUCAAAACACUUCAAGGAAUUCAGAGCAGUUGAAUACUGUGACAAGAUAGUGGACGGAAAAUAUUACAUAAUUACAGUUCGUGUUUUGGAUGAUGCAUGUAUAUUUCUGGAAGUCUAUAAAUCUUUACCUGUACAAACUCCUGAUGGAUUAAGGAAAUUUACGAUUGGAUGGAAAAUUCUUGAAGAAAACAGGGCAAUAAACGAUCCACUAAAACCCUAAAACUGCAAUCAAUGCAAAAGUCAAACAGUCUCUACUUUCUCUAAAAGGCUGCCUUCAGCAAAACUUUGUCGAAUUGUAUUGGUCUUUGUUCAGAGUUUAUUAAAGUAUCACUAAUUACCUUCACUGAAUGGAAGUUGAUUUUAUGUUGUCAGCAUUGGGUAUAUUGAAUGUUGAAAAAGCAAUGUAAUCAAAGAUGUAAAACAAAAAUAAAUCAUAUAUAAGCUGGAAACAUUGCACUAUUUUUUCUU